AUGUUCGUGAUAUUACUUCUAAAUAUGUUGCAGGCGGUGUUGGUGCCGGCAUGGGAGGGGAACCUGCGCCCCAACAGUACGGUCAGUAUGGUGGAUGAAGAAGGUUUUUUUUCCAUUCCUGGAAUCCAGUCUACACAUGGCUGUGAAAAGGCUCCUCCUUUUUACUGUUUUUCCUUCCGUCUCUGCGCAGGAUACGGUGGGUUCCCCGAUGGGGGGCAGCUUCUUGCCAGUAAUGGAAAUACAGCCGGCAAAUAUGGUGAACAAUGCGCCUUGAUGUCGCCACAAAGACCCAACCCCCUUAACCUUCUAUUAUCCGUGAUUAUUUGUGCAUCGUGUCCACAGGUUACGGAAGGAUGCCGUAUGAAGCUCAACCGGCUCCUGAAGCCAUUUCUACGGGCCAAUAUGGUAAUAACUUGUUUACACCAGACACACACUCAACCUGUUGCAUUUGUUGUUGAAAUUCAUUUGAUUAUGUGCUUUCUUCCAGGUCUGCCGGGGUCAUCGUAUCAGUCUGAACUACCUGGGCAGCGCGGAAUGUUGCCAGGCAAAUACGGCGCUGGUGAAGUUCCCUACGCACCACAAACUCUUGGUUUUAUGAGUGAAGCUACACCUUUUGGGGAAUAUGAAAACCAGAGGCCAUACGAGUCGCAGGCCCUCGAAUCGGCUUCUGAAAGCAGAUCCGGUGGACAACACGAAAACAACGGCUACAUAAACGGACAAGUGCGGCCAGAAGUUGUCGAACUUCCCGCGACUCCCACACCGAGCCCUCCCCCGGCUCCCCCCUCCGUCACAUCCCAUCGGCCCGCCGACUCCUUCGGGCACACGUUGGCGGCAGAUGUUGAGGACCCACCUGAGCCCGCCGGCCUCGCCUCAGACUCCGCCCCCGCUGCGGAAACCGAAGGCGUGGCUCAGGAGUCGGAGCGGGCCGACGACCUGCAGCAGCAGCAGCAGCAGCAGCUGCCACGUCAGAUACACAUUCAGCAGCAUCUCAAACUGCAUUUUCACCCACAAGGAGAAAAAAACAACAAACAUGACUUGAAUGGCUUCUUUGGGAAUAGCGGCUAUCAAGGCUGAACCCGACGACAGGCGGAGUGUUUUACCUUCGAAUGUUUCCUUUUUGUAUAUUUUUAUUUUGAUUGAGUCAGUCGCUUUUGCCUGAUGCAAAUGAAUACCGUCAAACAUAAUUCAGUUUAAUUUAUUUGCUCAUGGGAGGGAUUUCUUUUUUUACAACUUGCGACAAACGUCUGUUUAUCAUUGUACAGAAUUUGAUUAAAGAAAACCAUCAGUGAACAUGUGUGUAUGUGUUUCUAUUCAUUUAUAAUAAACAAUAACAAUGAAUAAAUAUUAGUACUGAAAUCCCCAGAUCAUCCUGCAUGCAGCGCGGUGUCAUACACGCUUGGGGAAUGGGAACAUGUGUGCAGUCUGUAAUAAGGGAAAUUCCAAAUAAGUCGAGGUGUCGGUCAGUUACGGGCCACGACCAGGAGCAGCUGCAGGUGGUGCACGUGGCUUUUUGUGAGGAUUACCCCGGCUUAGGGAUAAGGGCCCUUUGCUGAUUGGCCGGUGGGAAAGCGUGCCACUUGGCCAGCUCAACCGUCCGCUCGCUCAGAAUUACACCUGUCCAAUAAUGGACUUCAUGGAGCAGAGUUUCCGGCUACCUGUGGACAUCACAGCGCCUCGCAGUCCUUAGAGUGGACCCGUCUAGGAUGUAAAUGGUGAGGGGUCCUGCACUGUCGACUACGUGCGAGGGCGUUGGCUGCAGGAGGUUGUGAUGGUGCUUCAGAGACGGCCGCGGCUGUUGGAUUUUGCAAAGACCCCCCAACACCUUCGGUUUAACAAAUACGUCCUGACGGGUUACAGGCCGGUCUCCACGGCUCCAGAAUGCCUCAGGAGCCUCUUCUACGUGCACAAUGAGCUGGGCAACAUCUACACUCAUG
ensembl:lncRNA